GGGAUCGCAGAUAGAUGCUCACGCCGGAGGUUAUUGCCUGUGCGUAGCAGACACAAAUACUUUCCUAUCGACUCGCGGCCAAAGUCAAAAGCUAAGAAGCGCGUACCGGUAUCCUAUCCUUAGGUCAAGCGGUAACGUGCGGAAGGGGCGUCUGCUAGGUCGCGAGCUACUUGGGUUGCAAGCGAGGUAAGCUAUCCUACAUAAGGCCCUGAAACGGCUCCAACUAGCUAACCAGUGAUGUGCAGAGAUGAGGUUUCAUGGGCUCGCCGCCAAACACAUGCAUUUGCUACGCUGCUAUUUGCUCCGCUAGAUACCCUGCUAGAUGUGCGUCGUUUUGCAUACACGUAUACAUACGUACCUACACGUCCUGAGCUUUAUUAAACCUCAUUGGCUCGUAACUAAGCUGCUGUUGCUGUUGCUCCGGACCGGGAAAAACCGGCGAGACGGCGCUCUGGCUGGGAUUGGGCUUUAGUAGGGUCUGCUUCACGGACCAAGUUGAAUUUCCUUUCUAGCACCGUACAUCCUAAAAUUCC
rnacentral:lncRNA from 1 species